rnacentral:lncRNA from 1 species
AUUGCAGGUUAAUCAGGGGAAUGGUAAGGGGUCACAAGGGCAGCCGAGAUUAUUGGUACCCCGGAAGAAGAUCUCUGUUAUGCUGAUCGGGAACUUUUCUGCCAGAAAAAGCUUCUUUAUUAACAGGUAUACGGAAGAAGAUCUUCCGUUAUGCUGAUCGGGAACUCUUCUGCCAGAAAAAGCUUCUUUAUUAACAGGUACAUAGAAGAACAUGUACAGAAAACAUGGGUUGCUAUAGAGACUCAUGGUUUUACUAUAAUAACAAACUGGAGAAAUUGAGGAUCACUAACUGUAAGUUUUUUUUUACUUUAUGCUGUUAAUAGAGCAAGUAAGUUAACAAAGAAAAUACAAGCAACAAAUAGUGAAUAAGAAUAGUAAUAAUGAUAUAAACACCUGUUGUUUACCACUUUGUGCAAUGAAAUUGUAUGGAGAGACAUAAAAUUUAAACACUGUGUAAAAAAAAAUAAAAAAAAUUCAGUUGUUUGUAUACAAACUGUCUCAUAUUUCUGUCUUUGGUCUUCU